rnacentral:rRNA from 1 species
GACGAACGCUGGCGGCGUGCUUAACACAUGCAAGUCGAACGAUGAAGCUGGAGCUUGCUCCGGUGGAUUAGUGGCGAACGGGUGAGUAACACGUGAGCAAUCUGCCCUUGACUCUGGGAUAACUGCGGGAAACUGUAGCUAAUACCGGAUACUUUCACUGGAAGGCGUCUUCUGGUAAAGAAAGAAUUUCGGUCAAGGAUGAGCUCGCGGCCUAUCAGCUUGUUGGUGAGGUAACGGCUCACCAAGGCGACGACGGGUAGCCGGCCUGAGAGGGUGACCGGCCACACUGGGACUGGGACACGGCCCAGACUCCUGCGGGAGGCAGCAGUGGGGAAUAUUGCACAAUGGGCGCAAGCCUGAUGCAGCAACGCCGCGUGAGGGAUGAAGGCCUUCGGGUUGUAAACCUCUUUUAGCAGGGAAGAAGCGAAAGUGACGGUACCUGCAGAAAAAGCACCGGCUAACUACGUGCCAGCCGCCGCGGUAA